rnacentral:rRNA from 1 species
AGUGAACGCUGGCGGUAGGCCUAACACAUGCAAGUCGAACGGCAGCACAGGAGAGCUUGCUCUCUGGGUGGCGAGUGGCGGACGGGUGAGGAAUACAUCGGAAUCUACUCUGUCGUGGGGGAUAACGUAGGGAAACUUACGCUAAUACCGCAUACGACCUACGGGUGAAAGCAGGGGAUCUUCGGACCUUGCGCGAUUGAAUGAGCCGAUGUCGGAUUAGCUAGUUGGCGGGGUAAAGGCCCACCAAGGCGACGAUCCGUAGCUGGUCUGAGAGGAUGAUCAGCCACACUGGAACUGAAAAACGGUCCAGACUCCGACGGGGGGCAGCAGUGGGGAAUAUUGGACAAUGGGCGCAAGCCUGAUCCAGCCAUACCGCGUGGGUGAAGAAGGCCUUCGGGUUGUAAAGCCCUUUUGUUGGGAAAGAAAUCCAGCUGGCUAAUACCCGGUUGGGAUGACGGUACCCAAAGAAUAAGCACCGGCUAACUUCGUGCCAGCAGCCGCAGUAA